rnacentral:rRNA from 1 species
UACGUAUGGCGCAAGCGUUGUCCGGAAUUAUUGGGCGUAAAGAGCUCGUAGGCGGUUUGUCGCGUCUGCUGUGAAAACUCGAGGCUCAACCUCGGGCUUGCAGUGGGUACGGGCAGACUAGAGUGCGGUAGGGGUGACUGGAAUUCCUGGUGUAGCGGUGGAAUGCGCAGAUAUCAGGAGGAACACCGAUGGCGAAGGCAGGUCACUGGGCCGCAACUGACGCUGAGGAGCGAAAGCAUGGGGAGCGAACAGG